rnacentral:rRNA from 1 species
UACGAAGGGGGCGAGCGUUGUUCGGAUUUACUGGGCGUAAAGGGCGCGCAGGCGGCUUUGUUUGUCAGGCGUGAAAGCCCCGGGCUUAACCUGGGAACUGCGUUUGAUACGGCAGGGCUAGAGUUCGGGAGAGGAGAGUGGAAUUCCCAGUGUAGAGGUGAAAUUCGUAGAUAUUCGCAAGAACACCAGUGGCGAAGGCGGCUCACUGGCCCGAUACUGACGCUGAGGCACGGAAGCGUGGGGAGCAAACAGG